rnacentral:rRNA from 1 species
AUUGAACGCUGGCGGCAUGCCUUACACAUGCAAGUCGAACGGCAGCACGGGUGCUUGCACCUGGUGGCGAGUGGCGAACGGGUGAGUAAUACAUCGGAACAUGUCCUAUAGUGGGGGAUAGCCCGGCGAAAGCCGGAUUAAUACCGCAUACGAUCUACGGAUGAAAGCGGGGGACCUUCGGGCCUCGCGCUAUAGGGUUGGCCGAUGGCUGAUUAGCUAGUUGGUGGGGUAAAGGCCUACCAAGGCGACGAUCAGUAGAUGGUCUGAGAGGACGACCAGCCACACUGGGACUGAGACACGGCCCAGACUCCUACGGGAGGCAGCAGUGGGGAAUUUUGGACAAUGGGCGAAAGCCUGAUCCAGCAAUGCCGCGUGUGUGAAGAAGGCCUUCGGGUUGCAAAGCACUUUUGUCCGGAAAGAAAUCCUUGGCUCUAAUACAGUCGGGGGAUGACGGUACCGGAAGAAUAAGCACCGGCUAACUACGUG